rnacentral:lncRNA from 1 species
AGUGUACACUGCUCUUUUAAUUUCUAAAAUUUAUAAAAAAUUUUAAAUUUUGAGUAUUUAAAAGUAAAAGAUUAGCAAGACAAAAAUUUAUUAUUGGUGCUUAGAUGAGUGGAUAUAAGAUAUACAUUAUCUUUUAGGGUGUACAGAUAGCAGUUAGGGGUGGAAACGAGCCGAGCCCGAGCGAGCUUGCCUCAGCUCAAAUUCAGCUUGAAAUUAAUUUCGAGCCUAAAUUUAAGCUCAAGCUCGGCUUGAAAUUAAUUCAAGCCGAGCUCGAGCGAGCCUAAUUUCGAGUCGAGCGAGCUCGAGCCCUAAGCGAGCCGCUUGAAAUUCUCAACAUUGUACGAUUAAUAAUUUAAUUUGUAUAGAACAUUAUUUAUAAUUUGAUACAAAAAUAUAUCUAAUAGUUCAAGAUACAAAAUAAUUAUAUGAAAUACGGUAUUAUAAUAUAAAGAAAAAUAAUUUACGAGUUGAAUAUCUAAUCUUUUCAGCUUCGCAUGUCUUCUCUUCCGCCUUCAAUUUUCAUAUUAUUCUUUUUCACCUAUGCGGUCAAAAAAUGAAUAAAUUUUAUAGACAAAUAUUAGAUUAAACUAUCUAAUUAUAUAUAACUAAAAUCAAAAUUUUAUAUAAAUAAUAAUUUUCUACCUUAAAAAUAUUCUGUAUAUUUUCUCAAGCACACAAUUAAUGGCAAGGUAGGCAACAGCGGGCGCGUGCUGUUACUUGAUAACUUGGGGGGCUUCAGGUUUGGCCGCUUGAGGAGAGAGAGAGAUUAGAAAUUUAAGGCUUUGUAAAAGAAAAGGAGGGAGAGAGUGUAAAUUUAGUAAAAUUUUAUCUUUUUGUUGGCAUAUUGGGUUUGUUCUUAUGGCCCAGCAAUAUUGGCUCAAUUUUAACUAAACUUAGGUUACUCACUUAGCCCCUAUAUAUAUAUAUAUAUAUAUAUAUAU